rnacentral:rRNA from 1 species
UACGUAGGUGGCGAGCGUUGUCCGGAUUUAUUGGGUUUAAAGGGUGCGUAGGCGGCCCUAUAAGUCAGUGGUGAAAUAUCGCAGCUUAACUGUGAGGGUGCCAUUGAUACUGUAGGGCUUGAGUGAAUUUGAGGUAGGCGGAAUUGACGGUGUAGCGGUGAAAUGCUUAGAUAUCGUCAAGAACACCGAUAGUGAAGACAGCUUACCAAGCUUCAACUGACGCUGAGGCACAAAAGUGUGGGGAUCAAACAGG